GGAAUAUUGGUCAAUGGCCGCAAGGCUGAACCAGCCAAGUAGCGUGAGGGAUGACCGCCCUAUGGGUCGUAAACCUCUUUUGCACGGGAAUAACCGCACCCACGCGUGGGUGCCUGCAUGUACCGUGCGAAUAAGCAUCGGCUAACUCCGUGCCAGCAGCCGCGGUAAUACGGAGGAUGCGAGCGUUAUCCGGAUUUAUUGGGUUUAAAGGGAGCGCAGGCGGCCGUUUAGGCCAGCCGUGAAAUUUCCGCGCUUAACGCGGUCCUUGCGGUUGGAACCGGAUGGCUUGAGUGGGGUACAGGAAGGCGGAAUUCGUGGUGUAGCGGUGAAAUGCUUAGAUAUCACGAAGAACUCCGAUUGCGAAGGCAGCUUUCCGGACCUUUACUGACGCUCAUGCUCGAAAGCGCGGGAAUCAAACA
rnacentral:rRNA from 1 species